rnacentral:rRNA from 1 species
AUGCUCGACCUCUCCUCCAACGCGCUCGAGGGCCAGAUACCCCCCGCGCUCUGCGACUGGAUCCCCUUCGUCGUCAACCUCGACCUCUCCGGCAACCGCCUCACCGGCCCGCUCCCCUCCGAGCUCGCCAACUGCCGCUUCCUCAACUCGCUCAAGCUCAGCGACAACGCCUUCUCCGGCCAGAUCCCCGCCUCCCUCGCGCGCCUCGACCGCCUCAAGGCGCUCGACCUCUCCGGGAACCGCCUCGAGGGCCAGAUCCCGUCCCAGCUCGGCUCUGCCUUCUCCAAGGACUCCUUCUCCGGGAACUCGGGCCUCUGCGGCCACCCCGUGUCCUCGCGCUACGGCAGCGGCCUUGGGGGCACCGGCCUCGGCAUCGUUAUGCUGCCGGGGUCUUCGGCGCCGCCGCUUCGCUGCUCCUCGCCUUCUUCUUCUGGCGAUGCACCGGGAAGGGCAAGGCUGGCCGCCGCCGCCAGGGCCGCGGAGGAAGCGAGUCGGAGGUCACUGCGACUUAUCCAGAUCGGGCGCCGCCGCGCGUGA